AUGUUCCGGUGGGGCAAGAGCACCAAGAACCCAGCUCCGGCCGCCGGGGAGGAGGUGGCGGUGCAAAAGGUGGAGAAGAUCGAGUUCCGCAACCUCAUCCACAUCAAGCCUCCUGUCGGCGCCGGCGGCGGGGCCAUCGGCAACGCGUGGAAGCCACAGCCAUGGACGGCCGGCGCCGGCAGCUCCGGCGCGGCGAGGAAGCCCGACAGCCCCGGAGACGACAUCAACUCGAGGGCGGGCAGGUUCAUCGAGGACACUAAGAAGGGGUGGCGCCUCGGCGUCAAGUCAUUCGGCGGCCGUUAG
rnacentral:rRNA from 1 species